GACAGAGGGUGCAAACGUUGUUCGGAAUUACUGGGCGUAAAGCGCGUGUAGGCGGUCGUGCAAGUCGGGUGUGAAAGCCCUCGGCUCAACCGGGGAAGUGCACUCGAAACUGCAUGACUAGAGUCUCGGAGAGGAUAGUGGAAUUCUCGGUGUAGAGGUGAAAUUCGUAGAUAUCGGGAGGAACACCAGUGGCGAAGGCGGGUCUCUGGACAGUUCCUGACGCUGAGGCACGAAGGCCAGGGGAGCAAACGGG
rnacentral:rRNA from 1 species